GGCUCCGUAGCCCAAUUGGCAGAGGCAUGCGACUUAAAAUCGCACAAGUGUGGGUUCGAGUCCCACCGGAGCCA
rnacentral:tRNA from 1 species